AACGAACGCUGGCGGCAUGCCUAACACAUGCAAGUCGAACGAGACCUUCGGGUCUAGUGGCGCACGGGUGCGUAACGCGUGGGAACCUGCCCUUAGGUUCGGAAUAACUCCCCGAAAGGGGUGCUAAUGCCGGAUAAUGUCUUCGGACCAAAGAUUUAUCGCCUUUGGAUGGGCCCGCGUUGGAUUAGCUAGUUGGUAGGGUAAAAGCCUACCAAGGCGACGAUCCGUAGCUGGUCUGAGAGGAUGAUCAGCCACACUGGGACUGAGACACGGCCCAGACUCCUACGGGAGGCAGCAGUGGGGAAUAUUGGACAAUGGGCGAAAGCCUGAUCCAGCAAUGCCGCGUGAGUGAUGAAGGCCUUAGGGUUGUAAAGCUCUUUUACCCGGGAUGAUAAUGACAGUACCGGGAGAAUAAGCUCCGGCUAACUCCGUG
rnacentral:rRNA from 1 species